GCAACAAAAAUUCAUGGAUCACUCCAGAAAAAGCUAGAUAAUGGGCAACAAAAAUCAAGGGAACCCUUGGUUAUUAUCUAGGAUCAUAAAGGACCACCCUUCCUACAUGCCCCGCAAAGAACUGUCGUAUUCGGAAUUAUGCCCACAAGAUCACUCAGACAUGAGACAACAUAAUGAACCUUCUAUUAUUCCAUGUGAUAUGAUCAAUCUAGACCAAAUGUUGGCAAAUUCCAUCAUGGCAAAAAGACAUAACUCAAACUCACCAUAAACUUUAAACUCGAUAGUUACAACACAUACUCUAAAAUCUAAGCAUCGUCUGUGCGUGUGUGUGGUUGGGAUGGGGUUGGAGGAGAUAAUUUGAACCACAAAAAACAAGACAGCCAAACAUACCUGCCAGCUAAAACCCGAUCCAUGUCUUGUAGCUCUGCUUCAAGGAAUCUACAGCCGCGCAUAUACUUUUCAUUUUGAUAGGAAUCAUUUUUACCUGCAUAGGACUUCAUAAUCAAAUCUGUAUUCUUAUUGCAACAGAGAUUUUCCACUGAAAUUUCAUAUGGAAUACAAUGAAUGUCUCCUAACUUACCAGUGCGCAAGAGAAAUGGCGAUAAUCCCAUUUUAUCACCUCUAUUAUCAUCACGAAAGUGUAGUCCAACCAAAAGACUGUAAUCCAUAAUUCUCUCAGCCUCCAAGAACUCACAAUCUCGAUCGAUUUGCCUGCCACCAUUUGGUUAACAAAAUUAGUGAUAAAUACAAGGAUGAAUUGACAUAAGGAGUUGCAAGGAGAGGAAAAAAAAUGUAAAACAGCUUACUUCAUAAGCUCCUCAAACCAAUUUCUUUGGAGACGAAACACAAAA
rnacentral:lncRNA from 1 species